rnacentral:rRNA from 1 species
ACAUGCCUACAACAUAGCAUUAAUUCAUUGGAUCCCAUUAGAACUCUGAAAUUAAGCAUGCUCGAGCUAGAGUAGUACUGGGAUGGGUGACUGCCCAGGAAUUCAUAGUAUUUUACAUGCC